AGACAGGAGGGAACCACGGGAAUAGACCUGGAGAGCUUCACUUUAAACUUAGCAGGCGUAUCGUGACCUUGUUGAAGAGAAUAUACCAUCAUUGGGAUUUUACUGCGGGACAUAAGAACAUAGGAAAAUAAGGGGAGUACCAAAAAAGCCCUUAUUUUGUUAUUUUCUUGUGUUCUUAUGUCUCGUAGUAAAAUCCUACUUAGAUAAUUAUUCGUUAGUACGUUCGUUGGUGUGUGGAGUGACUGGCCUUGUGGGUACGUGUCUGCAGUGUCUGGUGUUCCCAGCUGUGUAUAUAGUACGUAGUAGUGGAAGGAAAAGGAGGAAGAAAGAGAAAUGGUGGAGGAAGAAGAAGAAAAGCAAGAAAAUAUCAAGAAAAUAAUCGCUUGAUUCCCGAUGUUUUUUUGAGGGUCCAGGAGCAGCGGUGGCGCCAGGCAAGCCGGCCACAAGCACCCUCAACCUGCAGCCUGAUACCUGGAGCCUACAGACUCGUGCACGCCUCUCCACUGUGUCCCUCAUCUCACGCCCACACUCACUACCAACAUCUUGAGUGAGCAGAGGGCGUGCAGGGUCAUCCGUGGCUUGCCUAUACGAACUGGGACCCCCUGAUGAUCUUGAGUUGUCCCUGGCACCGAGAAGCCGUGGAGGAGGUUGGGAAGGGCUUGCUGCGCCACCCACGCCUCGCCCGGGCUGUGCCAUGCUACACCUUAGCUUGAUAAUGCCCCGAGUGCUGCGCAGGGACAGACCGAUACCGUGUUUGUUUUUCACCAUCUUUGUCUACUCCCGUUCUCUCUGUUCCACUUCUCUUCCCCCUAUCCAAAUAUUGUAAACCCCUUUGUAAGUAAAUUGUUAAAUAGUUAAACUGAUGCCGCCUCAGUUCCUUUCCCUAAAUUAACCUUAGUUUUAGUGCUAAGCCUCCCAGUAAACCUCAUAUUGUAUAUUUUUCACUGUAACAAAUGCCAUAUUAAUAAACCGUUUUGUUAUUA